GAAAAGAGAAGAAACAGAAGAAAAAGAAGAUAAAGAGGAUAGAAGCGCUAUCGCGAAAUUGACCGCGUACAAAGCUAAUUGGGGGUAAAAGAAACGCGCUGGCGAAAUCGGUUCGGCAAUCCGUCGCUCCUACGCGAAGAUAUCGCCAAAAGAAGAUUUUCGGCGUCGAUAGUCACGAGCGCGCGUCGCGAUUCUCGGGAAACCGCUAGAAGCGCAUUUCUCCCAUUCCGGCAUCAAAGAAAGGUUACACGCGAGCGGCGCGGCGGCGCGAGGACAGGGCGUAGCUUCGUAGAUAGCGCCCCACCACUGAGACUGAGAUAGCAACACCCUGAAGAGGUCAAGUUCAGAGUUCAAAUGGAAAGAAAUAAAAUUGUAGUAAUUUGUAUAAGUUUCGUAUUAACUUAAAAGCAUAUGUGGUUAUGUAAAUGUAAAAUAUUGUAAAUGUAAAAGAAUCUCUGAGAUGAAUGCUUGUAAUAGCAUAGUUUGCACUUUAUGUUUUCGAUA